AGAGUGAGAGUGACUCGGCUAGCAAGAGACGAUGUCUUUUCCGCAGGACUCCGCCCUUACGUCGGUCUACCAUAUAGUCUGUGAGAUAAUGGAGCAGUUGUGUGGUCAUGCUUUGCUUCGCUUUGUGCGUCUUGGACCCAGGACUGGAACAAUUGCAGCCUGGGCCUUUAAUGGUAAAUCAAAACAGCUGGUCCUUGCUUAGAAUUUGGA